rnacentral:rRNA from 1 species
UACGAGUGCUCCAAGCGUUAUCCGGAAUUAUUGGGCGUAAAGGGUGUGUAGGCGGUUGUAUUAGUCUUUUGUUAAAUUCUUCGGCUUAACCGGGGGCAUGCAAAAGAAACGGUACAACUAGAGGAUGCGAGAGGUGAAUGGAACUCAUGGAGUAGGGGUGAAAUCCGUUGAUAUCAUGGGGAACACCAAAUGCGAAGGCAAUUCACUGGCGCACUCCUGACGCUGAGACACGAAAGCGUAGGUAGCGAAUGGG